CUAGUAAUUAAAUUUUAAAUUAAUAAUACUCAAAUUUUCCUUUUUUUGUUAUGUUAUUAGAGGGUCUGCCCUA
rnacentral:tRNA from 1 species